rnacentral:lncRNA from 1 species
UUAUCAAUUAAUAUUUACAGGGUUAUCUAGCAUAUUCAUGAUUAAUUAGUUAAUUAAAUAAGUUAAAUUACUAUUAAAUUAAUAUUUUAUGUUAAUUAAUUAGAUGAAUUAUUAUUAUUUUAUAUCUAUAAUUACUCUUAUUCUGAUUAUUCCAAUUUAAUCAUCCCAAUGCUAUUUGUCUUAUUCUCAGAAACAAUCUAAUUUUCAUCUAAACGUAAAAUUAGUCUUGAUCCUACUUAUUCGCCUAUAUAAGGAAUAAGCAAGAACAGCUUAUUCCCAAACCAAAUGAU